rnacentral:rRNA from 1 species
UGCGCCCCCUGGCAUUCCGGGGGGCAUGCCUGUCCGAGCGUCAUUUCUGCCCUCAAGCACGGCUUGUGUGUUGGGUGUGGUCCCCCCGGGGACCUGCCCGAAAGGCAGCGGCGACGUCCGUCUGGUCCUCGAGCGUAUGGGGCUCUGU